AGACAAGGACACAAAUACAAGUAUGAACACACAAACGCUUACUAAAACUACCCCAGUAAAGACAGGUGGUGAAAGCUUGGGUGAAGACAUCGAGAGAUACAUCUGACAGAUAAUAGCAGAUAAUUGAACACUUCUUUUUACAAACCCAGCAUAGUACAAACACACCCACAUCCGCCAAUGUACAGGUCAUGAUGGGAAGAAAUAGCCAUACACAAUCACUAUAUACAUAAGCUCAGUUACACUGAUGAAGGCCAGCUGUCCAUUGCAGCCAGUACAGUAAGGGAGUGUUCACACGGUUUCCAUAAAGCAGCCAGAGAGAAUA